GAGCGCAUAACCGAAAAGCUAAGCCAAAUGCCCGAAGUGUUUGCACAAAAUGAUCUCGACUUUGGAAAGACGGGUCAAGUGAAACACACAAUCAGAUUGUCAGAUGAAACACCGUUCAAGCAUAGAGCACGUCCCAUACAUCCGAACGACCUGGAAGCAGUCCGUAAGCACCUCAAAGAACUGCAAGAAGCUGGCGUGAUCAGGGAAUCUACCUCCCCUUUCUCUUCACCCAUUGUAGUCGUGCGGAAGAAAAAUGGUGAAGUCCGCCUCUGUAUCGACUACAGAAAGCUUAACGCGCAGACUAUAAAAGAUGCUUACGCUCUCCCCAAUUUGGAGGAAACGUUUUCCACCUUGAUCGGGUCGCAAUGGUUCUCUGUCCUGGAUUUAAAAUCGGGGUACUACCAAAUUGAGAUGGAGGAGCUGGACAAACCCAAGACGGCGUUCGUAUGUCCCAUCGGCUUUUGGGAAUUUAAUAGAAUGCCCCAAGGCAUUACAAACGCCCCCAGCACGUUCCAGCGACUCAUGGAGAAAUGUAUGGGCGACAUGAACCUGCGUGAAGUGAUCGUGUUUCUUGAUGACAUCAUUGUAUUCUCCAAGACACUUGAAGAACAUGAGGCUCGCUUAAUGAAAGUUCUUGAUCGCCUGAAAGAAUAUGGGCUCAAACUCUCCCCCGAGAAAUGCAAGUUUUUCCAAACUUCUGUCAGAUAUCUUGGGCAUAUUGUGUCCAGCAAGGGAGUGGAGACUGACCCUGAAAAGGUGGAAGGCUUAAGUACCUGGCCUGUGCCCCGUGAUCUUAAACAGCUCCGCUCAUUCUUAGGCUUUUCAGGGUACUACAGGCGGUUCAUUAAGAACUAUUCGAGUAUCGUUAAGCCCCUCACUGACUUGACAUCAGGCUACCCUCCUUUGCGCAAAAGCACAAAGCCUAAAGCCAAGUCUGUAAAGUACCAUGACCCCAAGACACCUUUCGGCGAGCAAUGGACUCCCUCUUGUGAUCUUGCUUUCAAAACCAUCAUUGAAAAGCUCAGUACUGCGCCUGUAUUGGGUUUUGCUGACCCUAAACUGCCAUAUACACUCCAUACCGACGCCAGCACUACAGGGCUUGGCGCCGCGCUCUAUCAAGAGCAGAAUGGCCAGACCAGGGUGAUAGCUUAUGCAAGUCAUGGGUUGUCUAGGAGUGAAUCUCGUUAUCCCGCCCAUAAGUUAGAGUUCUUAGCCUUGAAGUGGGCAGUGACGGAAAAGUUUGCAGAUUACUUAUAUGGAAAUCAGUUUACUGUCGUAACAGACAGUAAUCCUCUGACGUACAUAUUAACUACUGCUAAGAUGGAUGCCAUGAGUUACAGAUGGCUAGCUGCCCUGUCAGCUCUGUACUGGAGCUUCAAGCUCCAGUACAGAGCAGGCAAGCUUAACUCAGAUGCAGAUGGCCUUUCUAGACGACCACAUGGCGAGUUGCUUAACAACGCAGUGUCCCAAAAAGAGUUCGACCGCAUAAAGCAGUUCACACAGACUCACCUGUCCCUACCUGACAGCAGUUUAAGUCCUGAAGUAGUGUCUGCUAUUUGUGAGAAACACCUUGUAUUCAGCUCUCAAAAUGACACCAUCCCUUUGGUUCACUCGCUAGCCAUUUCUGCAGCUGCCAUUCCAGGUGACUUUGUCAAUGAAAAUGACUGUGGUGGUCUUCCUGUUAUACCCCAUAUGUCCCCUGAACAGAUCACAAACGAACAAAGAACAGACCCUUGUCUGAGGGAAGUCAUUGCACAAAUUGAAACUGGAGAGAAGGUCCCACCAACUGUGCGAGCUGAACUUCCUGACAUCAACUUUCUACUCCGAGAGCUCAAUCGAUUGGCGAGUUCGGUACAUCCUGUACCGAACUCGCCAAGAUGGAGGAGAUGUUACUUACCAGCUUGUCUUACCUGAACAGCUCCGUGACUCAGUCUUCCAAAGCCUCCACUGUGACAUGGGCCACUUAGGCACUGAGCGUACCUUAGAUCUUGCCCGAACAAGGUUCUAUUGGCCUCGCAUGGCAGCAUAUACAGAACAUAGGAUCAAAACAUGUAAACGCUGUGUGAGACGUAAAACUCCUCCAGAAAAAGCAGCUCCACUUGUGAAUAUCAAAUCCAGCAGACCCCUCGAAUUAGUCUGCAUGGACUUCCUGUCCAUUGAGCCUGAUCUAAGUAAUGUAAAGGAUGUGCUUGUAUUAACCGAUCAUUUCACGAAAUAUUCAUUAGCCAUCCCUACCAGCAAUCAGAAAGCUCAGACCGUUGCAAAAGCCCUUUGGGACAACUUCAUAGUCCACUACGGGAUACCCGAACGAUUGCAUAGCGAUCAAGGUCCCGACUUCGAGUCCCACAUUAUCCAAGAGCUUUGCAAGAUCAUGGGCAUUCGCAAAAUCCGGACAACACCCUAUCACCCCAGAGGGAACCCGGUAGAACGUUUCAAUAGAACGUUACUAAGUAUGCUAGGUACUCUUGAGGAAAGGGACAAAACUCAGUGGCACAACUAUGUCAAACCACUCGUUCAUGCGUACAAUUGUACGAAAAAUGAUACAACUGGUUUUGCCCCAUAUGAGUUCAUGUUUGGCCGUCAGCCAAGAUUACCAGUCGAUCUAGCAUUUGGGCUGCCCUUUAACAAUAAAAGUUUCAAGUCGCAUUCUCAGUACAUAACAAAACUAAAGGCAAUUCUACAAGAGACCUACAAACUAGCAACAGACCAUGCUAACAAAAUAGCAGAAAGAAACAAAACAAGGUUUGAUAUGCAAGUGAAACCCUCAAAACUAGAGCCAGGUGACAGAGUUUUGGUGCGUGCAGUCCGUCUCAGAGGCAAGCACAAGCUAGCCGACAAGUGGGAGACUGAUAUUCACAUUGUGGUGAACCAAGCAGGUGACUUGCCCGUCUACAGUAUAAAACCCCUAACGAAAGAGGGCCCAGUCCGCACAGUCCACCGCGAUCUUUUGCUCCUUUGUGGUUUUCUUGCCCCUGUUGAGGAGAAACCUGUCCAACCAACUCAUGUACGCAAACCAAAAACAAGGCAAUCACCUAAACAACAUGAGGAAUGUGAUCAUUCGGAACUGGAGGAUGAGGAUGUCUGUUGGUUCAGAGAGGAACCUAUUCAAGAGCCCAUAAAGGUCACUCGAGUCUAUGAGAUUCCCCAGCCAAAGACACACCCUAAUGAUCACAACCAUGCUGAAACUAACUUGCCUAGAGGAGACAACUUACAUGAACAUGACAACUUGCCUGGACGUGACAACUUACAUGAACAUGACAACACACCUGGACGUGACAACUUACCUGAACAUGACAACUUGUCUGGAGGUGACAAUUUAACCGGAUGUGACAACUUACCUGAAUGUGGAAAUCCACUUGGAUGUGGAAGCCUAGAGGAGAGUGAAACCAUGGAACACUCAAACACUCAAACACUGACAAUGAAAGCGAGAGUGACACUAACUUACCCGAUGGACCUACCUGUGAUGGGCCAGUGGAAGAAGACAACUCAAAUGAUAAUCAAGCAAACUCAAGUCACUCAAAUACUGAGAGUGAAGCCGCAGUGGCUAUAAGGCGCUCAGAGAGAACAAGAACCCAACCAGAACGACUACAAUACAUUCAGUUGGGAAAUCCCCUCGUUUCCAUUGCCCAGUCCCUGUUUCAAGGUCUAAGCCUGGCUUUUACCAAUGCCUUGACAGAACAAGAUUCUGUGGUCAUCCCCAUGAAUGCUGGUUCCCCUGUCAUUACCGUUUAGCUAUUCCAUGCAAAGGGACUUGCAUGAUUUUAAGGGGGGAUAGUGUAACCCAGUGUUAAAAACGGGAUUAAAAGCAUAAAUAUGAAUACUCUUUUGAUUAAAAUACUAAUUUCAUAAUGGUAAUAAAUAUUGAUAAAAAGAACUUAAAUAUAAUAAAUACUGAUUAAAAGCAUGUAAACAUAAGUUUAAUUAAUAUGUACGUAUGUAUAUGUAAUAUAUAAAUGGUGUGGGGGCAGGACUUAGUUCUGUGGAGUGUGUUUGUUAGAUCCACUGAGCGACCAAUCAUUGGCCGGUCUGACCCUUCCCCCAGUCUGUGUGCGCUGCUCAGACACCUGUGUGUGCCUGCGUGUGCCAGUCAGAAACGCCAGAGACGCAGACGGUGAAAGGUCCGGUUACCCAUACGGUGAAGAAGCUAGCUGGAUAGUAAAAGUCCUGUUUUCGAGCAUUGAGCGAGAGGAGCCGAUCGAAGUCGACCCAGCCCCGACACAUUCUGGACAGGAAAAUGGACAUGCUGUUUCUAAAGAACAUUCAGUGCUGGUACAUGGAAAGAUCUCCCCACCCACUGACCCUCCACAUGAA